rnacentral:rRNA from 1 species
GAUGAACGCUGGCGGCGUGCCUAAUACAUGCAAGUCGAACGAAACUUCUUUAUCACCGAGUGCUUGCACUCACCGAUACAGAGUUGAGUGGCGAACGGGUGAGUAACACGUGGGCAACCUGCCCAAAAGAGGGGGAUAACACUUGGAAACAGGUGCUAAUACCGCAUAACCAUAGUUACCGCAUGGUAACUAUGUAAAAGGUGGCUAUACUACCGCUUUUGGAUGGGCCCGCGGCGCAUUAGCUAGUUGGUAGGGUAAAGGCUUACCAAGGCAAUGAUGCGUAGCCGAAUUGAGAGGUCGAUCGGCCACAUUGGGACUGAGACACGGCCCAAACUCCUACGGGAGGCAGCAGUAGGGAAUCUUCCACAAUGGGCGAAAGCCUGAUGGAGCAACGCCGCGUGGGUGAAGAAGGUCUUCGGAUCGUAAAACCCUGUUGUUAGAGAAGAAAGUGCGUGAGAGUAACUGUUCACGUUUCGACGGUAUCUAACCAGAAAGCCACGGCUAACUACGUG